rnacentral:rRNA from 1 species
CUACGUGCCAGCAGCCGCGGUAAUACGUAGGGCGCGAGCGUUGUCCGGAAUUAUUGGGCGUAAAGGGCUUGUAGGCGGUUGGUCGCGUCUGCCGUGAAAUUCUCUGGCUUAACUGGGGGCGUGCGGUGGGUACGGGCUGACUUGAGUGCGGUAGGGGAGACUGGAACUCCUGGUGUAGCGGUGGAAUGCGCAGAUAUCAGGAAGAACACCGGUGGCGAAGGCGGGUCUCUGGGCCGUUACUGACGCUGAGGAGCGAAAGCGUGGGGAGCGAACAGGAUUAGAUACCCUGGUAGUCCACGCUGUAAACGAUGUCGAUUUGGGGGUUGGGCUUUAAGCUUGGCGCCCGUAGCUAACGUGAUAAAUCGACCGCCUGGGGAGUACGGCCGCAAGGUUAAAACUCAAAUGAAUUGACGGGGGCCCGCACAAGCGGUGGAGCAUGUGGUUUAAUUCGAUGCAACGCGAAGAACCUUACCUACUCUUGACAUCCAGA